UUUUUUUUUUUUUUUUUUGCCCAAAUUGUAUCCAACACAUUCAAUAUCACAUCUUGGUGAAAGCAAAUAACUUAUCACUCUUAUUUUUUGAGAAAACUCAGUCAACAUAUAAGUUGUAUAGGCUUGUAAUAUAUGGGUAGAAACGAUAGCUAAACAUAUGAAAACAGGUUAUGGCCUUAUGAUCAUGAGUGAUUGGUAGAUUCCUUAGAGACAAUAUUUUCACUUCAAAUUGUCAUGAAAAAUAAGUCAACAAUGGACUUUAUGAGCUUGUAAUGUGGCUUGACAACGAUAGCUAAAA
rnacentral:lncRNA from 1 species